rnacentral:lncRNA from 1 species
CUACGUUGUACUGAUCCUUAGCAAUCAAACUGUAUGGGGAGUUUGUGAAUAUUGCGUAUAUCAGCAAACGCAGGGACCUUCACUUAUAUAGACAUAUUAACCUAAGAGGCUUAGCCCAUCAUUGAGACCUAAUAGGUAACUGAAUAUGUCUAUAUCUCCUUAACCAAUCAGGAUUAGGAACCCCUUUAGCAAGAAUAACAACUUAAUAUUACAUUCCUUUUGCAACCGGUAAAGUCCAAGUUAAUUCCCUAAUCCUAUAACUUGAUCCUCAAGUAACGUACAAUGAUUAUGAGACCACAAAACCUUGUGAGAACCGGAUUUUACUCCAACAUUCUCCCACUUGGUCGAAACAAGCAUUGUAUGAAACUUAACUUAAGAGAAAACAAAUCAGGAUUACUUUAAUGGCCAUGGAAAUCACUUAAACUCAAAGUUCCUUAUAGCUUCUGUCAAUUAGCACAAUCACAUAGAACUAACAAGUCUAUUGGACAAGAGCAACGUCCAUAGUCUUCAUAAUCACAUAUGUGAGCAUGGUUAAUCACAUGAAACAUCAAUAAGUGAGAAAAUCGAAAUAUAAAUAUCAGACUUGAUGUAAUAUAUUGAUAUUUUAAUUUCUAAGGUCCUCCUUGAUCAGACCAUGAAAGUCUGCUUAAUGCUUCAACCGAAGCCCUCCAAAACUAUUAAAAGAAUGAAGAAUAACAACUGAAACCUUAUGUCCAAAACCCAGUCAGUUCUAGCAUGAUGAUUGGUGUAACUGUAUCAGAACACCUUAGUUUUCUACUCUUAAUGAAAACAGUAUCUGAAAACAUUCUUCAUAUCAUCUUGUAAAUGCUUGUGACUUUAAAGCAUUAACUUUACUUUUUACUUCAUAGCUGCAUUCAAACAGCCACACAAAUAUAAAACAAUCAACAAGUUCAUAAUAAAAAUAACUGAAAAUGCUUCAAACUUUAUAAUCCAAACUCACGAACCAACCAAAACUAAUAGUUUUAGUGACUUAACUCCAGAAUCAAUGCAAGGGAACUAACUAAAAUAAAUGAAUCUCCCACUAAUUCAGUGCAUCAAAAUCGAAAACUAAGCCCAUGUUUUUCACAUGCACAUGGAACACUGCAUUAGGAAGAGCUUUGUUGAGUGGAUCCGCCAACAUUGACUUAGUAUCAAUGUAAUCAAUUUUAAUUUGUUGCUUCUUGACUUCCUUGCGAAUCAUCUUAUACUUGAGAUCCAAAUGUCUAGUUCCAUUAGACCUUUUGUUGUUCCGAGCAUGGAAAACAGCAGCUUUGUUAUCGCACCAUAACUGAAUUGGCCUAGCAAUUGAUUCGACAACAUUCAUGCUAGAUAUGAAGUUCUUCAACCACACAGCUUGUGAAGUGGCUUCAUAACAAGCUACAUAUUCAGCCUGCAUUGUAGACGUUGCAACUUCCCCUUGUUUUGCACUUUUCCAAGACACUGCUCCCCCAACGAGCAUGAAAACGUAGCUGGAAGUAGACUUGAGAGAAUCUGCACACCCCGCAAAAUCCGAAUCCGAGUAGCCAAUCAACUCGAGAUUAUUGGUCCUUCUAUAGUAGAGUUUAUAAGUCUUAGUCCUUUUCAAAUAUCUCAUGACUCUCUUUGCAGCCAUCCAAUGAGCAAAACCUGGAUUAGAUUGAUAUCUAGACAAAACACCAAUUGCUUGAGCGAUGUCGGGUCUAGUGCACACUUGUGCGUACAUGAGGCUGCCAAUAAGAGAAGCAUAAGGUCUUCCAGCCAUCUCUACCCUUUCAGUUUCAGUUUUAGGGCAUUGGGAUUUACUUAGCUUAUCUGCCUUUGCCAUGGGAAUGUCACAACCAUUGCAAUCCUGCAUCUCGAACCUUUUCAAAACUCGUUCAACAUAAGCCUUUUGAGAUAAGCCAAGUAUUUUAUUCUUCCUAUCGCUAGUAAUUUCUAUCCCCAAGACGUAAGAAGCCUCUCCCAUAUCCUUCAUCUCAAAUCUAUUAGACAAGAAAAGCUUUGUCUCAUGGAGUAGGGUAAGAUUUGUGCUAGCUAGCAAGAUAUCAUCUACAUAAAGUACCAAGAUUACAAAAUGUCUCCCACUGAAUUUUAGAUAUAUGCACUCAUCAGACGGGUUCUCAAUGAAACCAUAAUCUUGUAUAACUUGAUCAAACUUCAAGUACCAUUGUCUUGAGGCUUGUUUCAAACCAUAAAUGGAUUUCUUGAGCUUACACACUAAAUUCUCUCUCCCUUCUUGAAUGAACCCUUCCGGUUGCUUCAUGAAAAUUUCUUCAUCCAAAUCACCAUUCAAGAAUGCAAUUUUUACAUCCAUUUGGUGUAGAAACAAGUCGAAGUGAGCUACAAGUGCCAUUAUGACCCUAAAUGAAUCUUUGGUAGAAACGGGAGAAAAUGUCUCAUUGUAGUCAAUUCCUUCCUUUUGAGUGAACCCUUUGGCUACUAAUCUAGCCUUAUAUCGCUCUAUAUCUCCCUUAGAAUCUCUUUUGGUUUUGAAUACCCACUUACAUCCUAUAGCCUUGUACCCCUUUGGUAAUUGUACUAGCUCCCAAACUCCAUUCUUACUCAUUGAUUCAAGCUCAGACUUCAUGGCUUUCAACCACUCUUCAUGUUGAGAACUAGUCACGGCCUCCUUGAAUGUAAUUGGAUCAUCAACCUCUCCUAGAUUAAAUUCAGAUUCUUGUAGAUAACAAAUAAAAUCAUCCGAUAUUGCAUGCCUUCUAAUUCUUUGGGAUUUUCUUAAAAGGACUUGGUUUUGGUCAUCGGUAUUACUAGCAGGGACUAUGGGCUCACUCACUUGGAUUGGUAUAUCAUGGUGACCAUGUACAAUUUCUUGCUGCUCACUUUCCACGUGAGCAUUAAGAGAUGGACUUUCAUCACUUGCUGCCAUGGUAGAGUUAACCACAACAUCUUCUUGUACAACAGGUCCUUGUUCAUUAUUUAAUUCCUUUUCCUCUUCAAAGCUAAAGCUUUCAACCUCUAAAUCACCAACCGACUCUUCUAUAAACUUAGCUCUCCCAGUUUCAAUAAUUCUUGUGGUGUGAUUUGGACAAUAAAACCGAUAACCUUUGCUCCUUUCGGGAUAUCCAAUGAAAAAACAACUAAUGGUUCUUGGGUCUAACUUUUUCUCCAAUGGAUUAUAAGCUCUUGCUUCUGCCUUGCAACCCCAAACUUUUAGAUGAAAUACACUCGGUUUCUUCUUGUACCAUAAUUCAUAUGGAGUGCUUGGAACAGAUUUGCUAGGAGCUCUAUUUAAGAUGUAGUUUGCUGUCUUUAUAGCAUCACCCCACAAAAACAUUGGCAACUUUGUACAGCACAUCAUACUCCUCACCAUAUCUUUAAGAGUUCUAUUUCGUCUUUCCGAAACUCCGUUCUGUUCAGGUGUUCCAGGAUUAGUGUACUGUGCUACAAUGCCAUUCUUUUCCAAAAACAGUGCAAAAGGUCCAGGACGACGGCCAGCUUCAUCAUACUUGCCAUAGUAUUUCCCGCCUCUAUCGGAUCUAACAACUUUGAUCUUUAAGUCCAAUUUGUUUUCCACUUCAGCUUUAUAUAUUUUAAAAGCUUCAAAAGCAGCAGAUUUUUUCAGCCAAAAGAUAUAAGUAGCCAUACCUUGAAUAGUCAUCAAUGAAGGUGAUGAAAUAUUUAAAACCAUCAUGUGUUGGUGUGGGAAACGGACCGCAAAUGUCGGUGUGAAUAAGUUCCAGCAGAUUUUGGCUUCUAAUUGCACCCUUCUUUUUGGUGUUAACCAUUUUUCCUUUUAUACAUUCAACACAAACAUCCAUGUCUUGAUAAUCAAGUGGUGGCAAAAUUUCAGUUUUUGUUAAAGUUUGCAUUCGUUCCUUUGAUAUAUGUCCUAACCGUUUGUGCCAUAACUUGGAUGAAGUUUCAUUGGUUGAAAUCCUUCUCUUAACUCCUACGGUGUUCAUGGAGACAAAUGGAACCUUGCAAUUUAGUUUAAAUAAACCAUCAACAAAUAGACCACUUCCAACGAAAUUCAACUUGUGAUUAAUAUCGAAGCCAUCUUCAUUAAAACUAGGAAAAAUUUUAUCUUGAUGAGUUUGCCAACGGAAACCAAAUUCCUUCUCAUUGAAGGUACAUAAAUAACAUCUUCUAAAUCUAAAACAAAACCAGAAUCCAAAACAAGUCGAACUACUCCAAUGAACUCCACCGGUACUCUUUCUCCAUUGCCUACGAACACACUUACUUCAUCCUUGUUUGGCACCCUCUUGCUUAUGAACCCCUGCAAGGUAUUUGUAAUAUGCACAGAAGCACCACUAUCAAGCCACCAUGUAUCAGAAGGAACAUCAACCAAACUAGUUUCAAAGCAAACAAACACAAUGUUCUUACCUUUAGCCUUUUGUUUCUCCAACCAACGCCUAUACUUUGGGCAAUCCUUUUUCAAAUGUCCAGCAAAUUUCUUACAGAAAAAACACUUCAAACCAUUUGGCUUGGUUGCUGCCUUGAAGUUGUUAGACCCUUUAGGUUUGUAGGAGGGGUUUUUGGAAAUCUCAUUGACUGAAUUCUUAGCAUGGGUGUGGACUAAAUUAGCGACCUUGCUCUUGUCAUGUCUUAUGUUCUGCUCUUCGUGAACACAAAUAGCUAUAAGCUCAUUGAGAUCCCACUUUUCCUUUUGAGCAUUGUAGGUGCUUUUUAGUUGAGAGUACUCCGAAGGCAAAGAGUUGAGGGCCACAUGAACCAGGAAUGGAUCACUAAUUGCAACAUCCAAAGCAUUUAACUUAGUAGCAAUAUCAAUUAGCCCCAAUAUGUGCUCCCUCACACUUCCAUCGACAAACUUGGUUGUCAUCAAUAAGUUCAUAAGGUUUCCGGUUUCAGCUUUGUCGGAUUCCUUGAACUUAGCUUCAAUUGAUGCCAAAAAUUCCUUAGCACUAUCCGUAUCAGCAAUACCACCUCUCACAGUGUCAGACAUUGCCCUUUUCAUAAUGAGAAUUGCCAUCCUAUUUGCCUUAUGCCACUUUUCAUACUUGUUUUUAAUCUUAGUCGAGUCGUCCUCUUCAGGAACAUCUGGUUCUUCCUCUCUCAAAGCAACAUCUAAGUCCAUGAGACCUAGAAUAAUCUCUAUGUCUUGCUUCCACUUUUUAUAGUUGGUCCCAGUUAAAGCUUGGAUUGAAUUGAAAUUCAAAGAAGCAUUGACAGUUGAAGAUUUAAACAAACAAUACAUACUUAAUCCCCAUAAACUUCAAAACAUAAUCAACUUACACCUACGGGCAAGAAAGUUAAUAUGUAUGUGGCACUAAAAUACAUAGUUAUAAGAAUUACUUUCAUGAAAAAUUUUCCACACUUACGAGCAAGAAGAAAACCUUCCACAAAUUCUUACAGUAUAUAUUCCAUACCAUGCUAUUGUCUAAUUGAACCAAUUAAAAUAAUCCACACUUACGAGCAAGAAGAUUAUCAUAAUCGUUAUAAUUAAAACAACACAAUUUGAUCAAUAGGACUUUGGAUUUAGAGACCACUCAAAUCAAUUAAGCCGCUACGGCUUGCUUAAUCGAUAUCAACCAAGUGAUACCUAAAACUUGAUCAUAUAUUACUUUAUGCAUGUCAGAUUAUUAAUCUUUAUAUCAGACAUGUCUUUCUAGAACCUGGAAACAAUCCAUCAUGCAAAUAUAUGUCCAGUUUCAAUGUCUUUCAAUUAGUCCUUAUAUUGGCAAUACGUUAAUUAACACGGCAUCCAUGCACAACAAUAUAAUAAUGUAAACCCAUCAUCCACUUUGAAUGCCAGAUAAUUGAAAAAACAUAGCAGCCAUCAUGCGUAAUUAUUUUAAGGCAAAAAACUGAACCAGAAAACUAUAAACUAUAACAUGAUGAACGACAGAAAAGGAACUUUACCGAGUUUUCUAAUUUAAUUUUCUUUUAAGGUCUUAAUCAUACAAGCUACGCUCUGAUACCACAUGUAAAACUAUAUUAGCCUAUAUAGAUUAAAACACAUAUAAGUAACUAACCUGGAGACGCCAUGCGUGAAACCUUGGUGUGCAAAGAGUCUUCUACGUUGUACUGAUCCUUAGCAAUCAAACUGUAUGGGGAGUUUGUGAAUAUUGCGUAUAUCAGCAAACGCAGGGACCUUCACUUAUAUAGACAUAUUAACCUAAGAGGCUUAGCCCAUCAUUGAGACCUAAUAGGUAACUGAAUAUGUCUAUAUCUCCUUAACCAAUCAGGAUUAGGAACCCCUUUAGCAAGAAUAACAACUUAAUAUUACAUUCCUUUUGCAACCGGUAAAGUCCAAGUUAAUUCCCUAAUCCUAUAACUUGAUCCUCAAGUAACGUACAAUGAUUAUGAGACCACAAAACCUUGUGAGAACCGGAUUUUACUCCAACAUGAUUUACAUGGUUUCCGCUCAUCAACUCAAAGUUAGAGUUUGGAUAACACACGAACUCUUCAACAGAUUUAGAAGAGUCACAGUCCUUCUUCACCAUGACUCUAUCUUCACCGUAUAUACCUUAGCUUCAGUUUAUGUUUUUGUAAUUUGAAUUCCCUUGUAAUCUGUGAUAAUAUAUACACCAUAACUACCUAAUCUUGUAGGGUGCGUUUGUUGCACCGGACUAUCUCGGACUGUACUAGCUUCAGGGACUAAACUAGACUGGCUUAGACUAGACUAAGCUGGACUGAUUUAGUGAAGCGUUUGGUGCAGUGUCGGAUUAAAAAGCAGGACUAAUAUAUUUUAUUAUUAAAUUUAUAUUUACAAUAUUUUAU